rnacentral:lncRNA from 1 species
AGAAAAUGAAAUAUCCAGAACUUAAACAUGAAAUAUCCGAAAUCAAACAUUCGUCUUGACUUAAAAAACAAAUAAUGUCUUGCUAAAGCAAUAAUGAAAACACUAAAAGUUGAUAAAGUUUAUCAUACUAAAACCCCAAAUGCUCAAAGGCUCUCCAUAAACACUUUAAUGAAAUCUGGUUUCUGUGAGUCAUCCAAGGUAGACAAAAUACGCAUCAGAUCGAUAUCUUUCACUAACUUCAUUGAAAUUCUUAGCACCUGAUCAUAUAGGAGACCCAUAGCCUGAAGCUCAGAAGGUAGUCUAGCUUUUGCUUCUCCAAAAGUAGAACUUUCACCUAACUACAUGAAAUCCAAUCAAUAUACACUCGCACGUUAAAGAAAUAGUAUUGAGUUUGUAAUGUAUAAAACUUAGCCAUUUCGAAGUACUGAAAUACAAAUCAAAGUUGAAGUACAAGACUACAUUGAGUAGAAUGAAAAUCAAGAAGGAAGAAAGCAUAAUAUAAAAAACUAAAACAAAUUCCAACAAGAAAUGAUGCUCAAAAGAUGAAGAACUACAAGCACAAGAUGAAGGCCCUAACCUAAGAUAGCAUCGUAAAAAGCACAACAAAAAGACAUAAAAGAUAUAUGACCAAAGAAAAAUAUCAACAGAGUGUAGUGGAAUAUUUCGUGUCAAUAUACCUAACACUAGAAAAUGAACCCAAGCAGCUAAAUUCAGAAGAAUAUAUCGUGGUACCAGUACCACACAUACAAAGGAAAGAAGAAAAAAAACGCAGCACCCAUCCCCAAAAUGAAAGGAACAAACAAAAUAAGAAAAUUGUACACCAGUAUUGCUUUGUUACUAACAAUGUAGAAUAACUAAAAUGUUCCUGGUUAUGAAUUUAUUAGAGGAGCCUAGCUUCCCACAAGCGUAGCACUGAUGCUGUUUAUACUGACAGUUCUUGCAGAAGAAGUUUUGAAUAGCCUGCCAAGAUUAGAAUAGAGAAUAAAAAUAAUCAUAAUAGCAGUAACAAAAAGAAACAACCAAAUGGAACAAACAAAAAAAAGGAUUCACAACAAAAGUGAAUAAGAAGAAAUAAGAAGAGCAUACGUCUACUUCAUCCUAGGUAAAGCCGGGUUUCACAAAUACAGAGCAAAAACAAGAAAACUCAUUCUCAACUACAGAGCCAAAAAAAAAAAAAAAAAAAAAAAAACCCAAUUAAUUAAUGCACACACUGGAAUUUGAAAAGACAACCAUCUUUAUCUCGUUUGGCCCUCUUAUCUGCAAUCCCCUCAACCACAAAUAAUCCUGUUCGCGUCAGGAAUUCCCGUCGGGGAUGUUUCCUGGCUGACGAGCACACAGCUCCCCUGGAGGUUGGCGCCGGUUGAGGGCUGCUGUCGGACUUCUGCUUCGCUGUCGGGCGUUGUCGGGCAAGUCUCGUCGGGCAAGUCUCGUCGGGCAAGUCUCGUCGAGCAAGACUCUUUGGGCAAGGCUGAAAGAGAAGGACAACGUUAACUUUGAGAGGGGCCUUUGUGGGGCCUUAGGUGUAGGCCUUGAGGCUCACAAUCAAGGUUAACAUUUAGGUGCUCAGGCGUGCCACUGCCAUCUUUAGCAUGGCAGAUGUAAAAUGGUUGUCGUGUUUUAGUUGUAUAUAUGUAUGUAUCCAAGAAACUGUGUUAGUUAUAACAGGUGCCUUUGUGGGGCCUUAGGUGUAGGCCUUGAGGCUUCCCAUAAAUAACUAAACCAGUGCUCGAACGCAUCAUAUUUGUUCUCGUGAUUGUAGGAGUUUUCUAACUAUUAUACUUCUGAUUACCCGAAUCCAAGAAAUAGAAUGAACCCAAAUAGGUGCCUUUGUGGGGCCUUAGGUGUAGGCCUUGAGGCUUCCCAUCAG